GAAGACCUAACACAACAUUAUUACAGAAGCAUACAGUGCUCCAGUGAACAAAUGCCUCGCACUCUAAGUGAUGUCCUACCUGUGUGCAGGCGUGCAGACCCCAGCCUUUACCUCCUGGAGGUCGCCACAGAGAAAUUUUCAUGUCGUACAGAUGUGGAACAGCUGAGAACUCAUUUCCUGACUCCAGGAUCAUUACAUAGAUGGUCCUGGAAAAUCCCAUCUUUUCCACUUAACUUAAAAGAACGUAGAAGAACAGAAGAAUGUAAUCAGUAAUUAUAACGUCUCAUUCUGUGCAAUGGAAGCACCAGCAAUUUAUUACGUGGAGAGGACCGGACCAGACGGAUCAUCAGCUCCUGUCAUUCAGUACGUCAGCUACAGAUGGCCAGAGACUUUCAGAAGAUGUGUAAUGGCACUAGCCCGAACAAACUUCACUCUAGACAGACUGCUAUGGGAGAGCUUGCAUGGAUGAAAUUGUAGAGAGGACCAGCUACCAAUUUUGUCAACUUCUGUCAUGUAGACCACAAGAGAGCUGUGAUUUUUUUCUUACCAGCACAUCAGCAUUUUCACUAUUGGACUGUCUUGUGCUCUACAAAUUCCACAGGCCAUAAAGUCUUUCCUCUUCCUCGUGCUUAGAAGAGGAACUGUUGAGUGGCCCUUUGCUAACCAUGUCACCAAGAAGGUGGCCAUGAACAGGACCUUCUUCCAAUUUCUCAACUAUUACUCCCACCUGUUUUACCUGUGUUUGCCUUGGGUUUGGUUAGGGUGAACUAACAGCUUGGUAAGUGAUCUAGAAAUGUUCGUGUUAUUGCCAAUCUUAA